CUACGGGCGGCAGCAGUUAGGUAUAAUCUACAAUGCGCGCAAGCGUGAUAGUUUGAGCCAGAGUGCGUUUCUAUUGAAACGCUUUUGUUGAAUGUAAAAAGUUCGACGAAUAAGGACUGGGUAAGACGAGUGCCAGCCGCCGCGGUAAUACUCGCGGUCCAAGUCGCAGCCAUUUUUAUUGGGUCUAAAACAUCCGUAGCUUGCUUAACAAGUUCCUUGUGAAAUUUUAUGUCUCAAACAUGAAGCGGGCAAGGAGUACUAUUGAGCUAGAGACUGGAAGACGGAAAGAGUACGUUCAAAGUAGCGGUAAAAUGUUUUAAUCUUGAACGGACUAACAAUAGCGAAGGCACUUUCCGAGGACAGUUCUGACAGUAAGGGAUGAAGGCUAGGGGCGCAAAACGGAUUAGAUACCCCUGUAGUC
rnacentral:rRNA from 1 species